rnacentral:lncRNA from 1 species
CAUAUCGUCCCUCUGUGUCCCCAUAUUGUCCCCCAGUGUCCCCAUAUUGUCCCCACAUUGUGUCCCAGUCCCUCAGUGUCCCCACAUUGUCCCCAAAUUGUGUCCCUGUCCCUUAGUGUCCCCAAAUUGUGUCCCCGUCCCCCCGUGUCCCCGCGCUGUGUCCCCACGCUGUGGCCCCACAUUGUCCCCACCACGUCCCCAUGUUGUCCCUCUGUGUCCCCAGAUCGUCCCCAUGCUUUGUCCCCGUGCCUCAGUUUCCCCAUAUGGUGUCCCCAGAUCGUCCCCAAAUUGUGCCCCUGUCCCCCAGUGUCCCCAUGUCGUCCCUCUGGCCCCACGCUGUGUCACCCUGCCUCAGUUUCCCCUGUCCCUCAGUGUCCCCAUAGUGUCCCCCGAGGGGUUUUGGUGCUGGGGGGUUUUGGUGCUUUUGGGGUUUUGGUGCUUUUGGGGUUUUGGUGGUGCUGGGGGGGCUUUGCUGUGUGUAUGGGGUCUUGGUGCUGUGUGGGGUUUCGGUGCUGUGGGGUUUUAGGGUUUUGGUGCUGUGGGGUUUUGGGGUUUUGGUGCUUGUGGGGUUUUGGUGCUGUGGGGUUUUAGGGUUUUGGUGCUGUGUGGGGUUUUGGUGCUGUGGGGUUGGGGGGUUUUAGGGUUUUGGUGCUGUUUGGGGUUUUGGUGCUGUGGGGUUUUUGGGGUUUCGGUGCUGUGGGGUUUUUGGGGGUUUGGUGCUGUGGGGUUUUGGGGUUUCGGUGGUGCUGUGUGUUGACCCCCCCGCGUGCCCCCCUCAGCGCUGCCCCAUUUGGGGUCACCUCGGGGUCCCCCCGUGGCCAUGGGGGCGGCGGUGUCCGUCCGUC